rnacentral:tmRNA from 1 species
GGGGGCGACUUGGCUUCGACGCGGGUUGCAAAACCGGAGGUGCAUGCCGAGAACUGAGAGAUCUCUCGUAAAUCAUUCUCAAUUAAAUAUAAAUGCAAACGAUGAAAACUUUGCAGGUGAAGCUAUCGCUGCGUAAGCUUUGAUAGCGUAACCGCACCGUGCGCUGCCAUAAAACCAGCGCCCCGUUGACCGAGCUUGCUUAUCGGUAUCGAAUCAACGGUCAUAGAAGAUAAGCUAGCUUCUUUGGUUGUCUUGCCCUUAGAAGCGAAACUAAAAGACUAGCUGUGUUCGAUCCUGCUUGUCGGAGAGGCCACAGUGAAAUUCAAACGGCAAAGCUAAGCAUGUAGAUCUAAAGGCAGAGGAUUUGCGGACGCGGGUUCAAUUCCCGCCGCCUCCACCA